AUGGUUAAGCCAAAAAAAGAGAAAAUAGCGAAUAAAUGUGUUCCGACCGGCGAAAUAGUUGAUAAAAAAGCGCAGGAAUCAGCGAUUUUCUCCGAUACUGAAGGUCGAAUCGGACUGCAUAUUCACGCAAAACCGGGCGCCAAGAAGAGUUGUGUUGUAGCAAUCGGAGAUUCGGAAGUUGAUGUAGCAAUUGGCGCAGCGCCACGCGAAGGAGCAGCCAAUGAGGAGCUCAUUUCAUAUUUAAUGAGUGCUUUGGGUCUUCGAAAAAAUGAAUUACAAUUUGAUAAGGGAGCAAAGUCAAGAAGCAAAGUGGUGCUGAUAGACACAAAACGAUUGACCAUUGACGAAGUACGGAAGAAGUUGCAGGAAGAAAUCGACAACUGAUUCUGCACACUUGAUAAGUUCACCCCAAAAGGACGGAAAUUUGUUGGAUGUUCUACUAAUUGUCUAGUCAAAGCCAUUGUUAACAUUUCCGAAUACUCAACCAGCUGCACUCAAAUCCAAGAAGAAGCGUUCAAAUCACACGUCGAUUGCUAUCUCAAUUGUAAUUUCUGUGAAGUGUGCAAAACCGAAAAACUCGCAUUCCUUGGAAGUUACGAUUGGACAGAUUUUCUAAGUUAUGCUGCCGUUAAACAAGUUCUUGCAAUUAUUCGUAAAUGUGGUAUAUUUAGUUGUUUGAAAGUGUUUGAUGUUUAA
rnacentral:misc_RNA from 1 species